GUGCUUGCACUGGGGGUUGUAGGACUGCAAUGUGCAAGAGCUGAGUUUAGCAGAACAUUCUGGAAAGUAUAGCCAUAGAGGGUGAUAGUCCCGUAUGCGAAAAACAAAGCUUAGCUAGCAGUAUCCUGAGUAGGGCGGGACACGAGGAAUCCUGUCUGAAUCCGGGUCGACCACGAUCCAACCCUAAAUACUAAUACCAGAUCGAUAGUGCACAAGUACCGUGAGGGAAAGGUGAAAAGAACCCCGGGAGGGGAGUGAAAUAGAACCUGAAACCCUGCACUUACAAGCUGUGGAAGCACAUUUCUUGUGUGACCGCGUACUUUUUGUAGAACGGGCCAACGAGUUACGUUAAGUAGCAAGGUUAAGCACUUAAGGUGCGGAGCCGUAGCGAAAGCGAGUUUUAACUGAGCGUUCAGUUACUUGACGUAGACCCGAAACCGGGCGACCUACCCAUGAGCAGGAUGAAGCGAAAGUAAAAUUUCGUGGAGGUCCGAACCCACGAGCGUUGAAAAGCUCGGGGAUGACUUGUGGGUAGCGGUGAAAUUCCAAUCGAGCCCGGAGAUAGCUGGUUCUCCCCGAAAUAGCUUUAGGGCUAGCCUCAAGGUGAGAGAUACGG
rnacentral:rRNA from 1 species